rnacentral:rRNA from 1 species
ACUCAAUAGAUACCCGGGUAGUCCUGGCAGUAAACGGUGCACGUUUGGUGUGGGCGCAAUCGACCGCGUCCGCGCCGUAGCUAAACGCGUUAAGCGUGCCGCCUGGGAAGUACGGUCGCAAGAUUAAAACUCAAAGAAAUUGACGGGGACCCGCACAAGCGGUGGAGUAUGUGGCUUAAAUUCGAUGCAACGCGAAGAACCUUACCUGGUCUUGACAUGCAUUGUGUCUCCGCUGAAAGGCGGAUAGGGUAGCAAUACCCGCUUUGCACAGGUGCUGCAUGGCUGUCGUCAGCUCGUGUCGUGAGAUGUUGGGUUUAAGUCCCGCAACGAGCGCAACCCCUGUGAUUUGUUGCCACCCGGUUUACCGGCGCACUCGAAUCAGACUGCCUCGAUCAACGAGGAGGAAGGUGGGGAUGACGUCAAGUCCGUAUGGCCCUUACGACCAGGGCUGCACACGUACUACAAUGCUCAGCACAAUGUGAACCGAAGCCGCGAGGCGGAGGAAAUCAGCAAAACUGAGCUCA